GCCCCUCUGGGCCUCAAUGACCUCCCCUCCCCUGGAGGCCCAGCCUCCUUCCCCAGGGAGUUUCUCCCUCUAACCUCCUGGCAGGUGGAAAGAAGGGGAAAGACCACUGUGAACAACCAAAAGAAUUUGAUUAGAUGUAAAUUUUAACGGCUGUACAGAGGAUCAAAAGGAGUCAGUCUGAAUUAUCUGAUUUUAACUGAAUUUGAAAAAGACUAUCUGAUAUUAUCUAAGUACCAGGAGGCAACUUGUCACGUUGCAGCUGCCUACCAGCAGAUUAUAAUGUGUCUGCAAAAGCAUCCCACAGGCCAUGACCCUGGAAGUGGCCUUGCAAGCUGAGCAGGAUUUCCUCACAACACAGGGAGAAUCUGAAGGGCCUUCCCACUUUCCCAUAAACAAAUACAAGUUC